rnacentral:rRNA from 1 species
UACGGGGGGUGCGAGCGUUGUCCGGAAUCACUGGGCGUAAAGGGCGCGUAGGUGGUUUGAUAAGGGUGUGGUGAAAGUCCGUGGCUCAACCCCGGAUCUGCCGUGCCGACUGUCAAACUCGAGGGCUGUAGAGGCAGACGGAAUUCCGGGUGUAGCGGUGGAAUGCGUAGAGAUCCGGAGGAAGACCGGUGGCGAAGGCGGUCUGCUGGGCAGUUUCUGACACUGAUGCGCGACAGCGUGGGGAGCAAACAGG